UCCUAAUUAAGACAAAUGGAAUUCUCUAUCUAUACGAUAACUAAUACGCCGAGGCUAUAUAGCCGAAUGGCGGAUCAUUUUUCGUGCACAAAUUUUACAAGGAUGUUGCGGCUUGUGCUCAUUUUGUUCAUCGGCGUUGCCACCCUGGCCGUUUCAUCGGCCAGACCGGAAGACCGUCUCGUCAACGCAGAUGUUGCGGUGUAUGGAAGAUAUCCGUACAUGGUGUCUCUACGCGUUGGCACUAGCUCUUCCCAUACUUGCGGGGCAGCCCUCGUAACACCCGAGCACGUGGUCACCGCAGCUCACUGCGUCGCCAACAAUGUUCCAGAGCCGGUUGAUCCGAGUGCAAGAUUCGUCGUUACAGGCCACUUAAGCAACGUUGUCGGAGGACGGGUUACGCGAUUGUCGGAAGUGCGAAUACAUCCUGAAUACAAUGCCAGCAACACAUGGGAAAAUGACAUUGCGGUAUUGAAGCUUGCUACACCAAUACCAUACACUGCUACCGAACAACCGAUACCCAUCGCAAGUGCCGAUGUUGGAGUUCAGGAUUGCGACAUUUCCGGGUGGGGUCGACACCACACGCCUUCUAACACCUUGCCGAGUCAACUGCAGUCUGGAGUCAUGGCUACUAUGACUCGCGAUACGUGCAUCGAAUACUGGGCAUCUUCGAUGAUAUUCAACUCCACUCUGUGUGUGGGUGGCGUGAGAGGGAACGGCGUGUGCAGCGGCGACUCCGGAGGUCCGCUCGUAUGUAACGGGGAAUUGGCGGGUGUCGUCUCGUGGGGAAACCCCUGCGCCAACGGCUUACCGGACGGAUUUGCCCGGGUUUAUGCCUUCCGUGACUGGGUCAACGAAAACAUCGCCGACCUGAGCGACCUGGGCAGAAUCUAUGCAGCCGAGGCUGCAGCCAGCCGCGCCUCGAGGGCCUAGUAGAGCGCGAAUAUGUAUUAACGUAGGUGUGCGUGCUGCACGUAAUUUAUAUCAACAGUUCUAACAAUAAAUCACAGGAAUUAAUGGACAUGGUGAUUCUGGCGGUCCUCUCGUGUGUAACCGAGAAUUGGCUGGGGUUGUGUCGUGGGCAAAUCUCUGCGCCAAUGGUUUACCAGAUGGCUUUGCACGAGUAUUCUACUACCGUGAUUGGCUCUUAGAGGAAA